AUUGAACGCUGGCGGCAUGCCUUACACAUGCAAGUCGAACGGUAACAGGUCUUCGGAUGCUGACGAGUGGCGAACGGGUGAGUAAUACAUCGGAACGUGCCAAGUAGUGGGGGAUAACUACUCGAAAGAGUGGCUAAUACCGCAUGAGAUCUACGGAUGAAAGCAGGGGAUCGCAAGACCUUGUGCUACUAGAGCGGCCGAUGGCAGAUUAGGUAGUUGGUGGGAUAAAAGCUUACCAAGCCGACGAUCUGUAGGUGGUCUGAGAGGACGAUCAGCCACACUGGGACUGAGACACGGCCCAGACUCCUACGGGAGGCAGCAGUGGGGAAUUUUGGACAAUGGGCGCAAGCCUGAUCCAGCAAUGCCGCGUGCAGGAUGAAGGCCUUCGGGUUGUAAACUGCUUUUGUACGGAACGAGAAGCCCCGGGUUAAUACCCUGGGGUCAUGACGGUACCGUAAGAAUAAGCACCGGCUAACUACGUGCCAGCAGCCGCAGUAA
rnacentral:rRNA from 1 species